rnacentral:lncRNA from 15 species
AUGCAUGGUAGUAUACGGCCUAGAUACAUGGCAGUGAUGUUGCCUCAUUACACUGUGAAACUGGCUAAUAAUGAAUGUUGUUCCGUCUAUUUCAAAUAUUUUCCAGAGAGGAGCAUGCGUGAUUCUAGGAUAGACCGAGCCAUUGGAGUGUGCAAGAAGGUAGUUGGAGCCUUUUCCAACAGCUGGAAAUUGAAGAAAGCACUGGGUGAUGCUCAAGAUCUGCUGAAGCUCCCAGAGCAUAAACUCAUCACAGAAUCACCAACAAGAUGGGGCUCAAGACAGCGCAUGAUUGAGAGAUUUGUUGAGCAAGAAAAGGCCAUUCAUCAUGUGCUGUGUGCAGACAAGAAGCGCACGCAUCUUAUCCCAACAUGGCAAGAUGUUGAUGUGCUAGAAUCAGUGAGCAAAGCACUUAGUCCCCUGCUAGAGUUUACAGAUGCUCUUUCAGGUGAGCAGGUAGUGACCAUCUCCUACCUGAAACCGGUCUUGUCGUUGUUCAACUCUGAGGUCCUGGCAGUGAAGUGUGAUGACACAGAGCUCACAAAGAAAAUCAAAGAAACAAAGUACAGAGAUGACAAUGUGGGUGGCAUAUUAAGUGUGGCAUCCACAUUAGACCCAUGGUUUAAAAACAGUUUCAAUGAGGAUGACCAGGUCAUAGUGUCCACAAUUUCCUCUGAGCUUUUGUCUAUAGCAAUGCAGGAAAAGAGCGAUUCUUCAGGUCCCUCAACUGCCUCAGCUCAGGGUGCCUCAGCAGAAAGUGGAGCAGAUGGAGGAGACACCACUGAGCCAGCCAAAAAGACAAAGAAGUCUUUUGGCAGCUAUUUUAAGAAACCAACCAGAGGGGAGUCACUGGCUAUUGGCAUCAAAAAGGAGCUCAAGAGCUACCUGAUGAUACCAGAGGUGGACAGUGAUGUGAAUCCACUGGAAUGGUGGAAGACACAGGAGGUACAUUUCUCCAGACUGGGGAAACUGGCUAAAAAAUAUCUCUGCAGCCCUUCAGAGAGGGCAUUUAGCAAGGGCCAGGAAAAACUGCCUGUUAAAAGGCAGAAACCUAGGACAGAUCCUUCGGCUCUAGGUGGGUGGUCGUCUGUCUCGACCAGUUGGGGUGAGAGAGAGAGAGAGAGACACAGAGAGAGAGAGAGAGACAAAGAGACAGAGAGAGACAGACAGGUGCACAGCAACAACAGUAUUGGCAAUGGCAAUCUAGCAGGACCAUGGCAGGAGGCUCCACCAGGAUCGAUAAGAACCUGCGAGACGAGAAUGCCUAGAAUGUUAAAAUGUUCAAAGUUCUGCAAAGUUUCUGGCAUCUGUCCAUAG